CAAUAUCUGGACCUGACACAGGUUCAGAAUAUAGUGAUGUAUUGUCGAGUGAACUAAUUGAACAUGAUUUGAAUCAUGCAAAUAAUAGUGACAGAUAUGAUCUUGAAGCAUUAUUGAAAAAA